AUACAUAUAAGGCAAUCGAGGAGUUAUAGUGAUUUGUGAGUGUAU
rnacentral:guide_RNA from 1 species